CUCAAAUCUGACUCCUCCUGGAUUCCUCAGCUCCCUAGGGAACUUUUCUGAGGAGCUAGUUCAGCAGGAAGCAAAGUUAAUCUGUCCCCUGGGCCUGGCUCGAGGCUCUAAAUCACAAAGCAGGUAUUUCUGGAGGAAUUCCACAGAGGGGUCAGCUUCUCCAAUUUUCUGACUCCUUCGUACUUCCAGUUGCAUUUCCCAGCUCCAACAGCUUUAGCAGCUUCCGCAGAUUCACAAGCUGCAUAAAUCUGAUUUUUAGUGACCCAGGACAGCUGCCUAGAGGCAAAAAAAAUCUCUGAACAAAAUACCCAUCAUCUCUUUCCAUUUUUCAAAAGUCUGGCCUGGGGAGAAGGUUGUCCCUCUACUGCAAUCCAAUUGUGAAAGCUGUAAGAGGAAGACGGGGCAGGAUCCUGUUUGCCCCUGUGACUAGAAGGGAUAGCAGCUGAGGAAUGAGAGCCACAACUCGGGAGGACCAAUCUCUCAGUUCCAGGGACUUGCGUGGUGGAGGCUGUCUUUUCCUAUCAGGGCCUAAAAAGUGCCAAAGUCAACAGAGACAUCAGUUCUCUGUGGCCAGCCAGGGAUGAGAUCAGUGCAGCCAGCAAGCUAUCUUCAGAAGUGCAUCCAAGUUCAAAGUCCCUGAGGGAAGCUGUGGACAGAAAUCUCUUCUUUCUGAUGAAUAAUUUGCUGCUUAUUUUAUUUUGCAAAAACUACAUGCUUAACACUAAAAAUGGGGAAA
rnacentral:lncRNA from 1 species